rnacentral:rRNA from 1 species
CAAGCGUGGAGCAUGUGGUUUAAUUCGAUGCAACGCGAAGAACCUUACCUGGUCUUGACAUAGUAAGAACUUUCCAGAGAUGGAUUGGUGCCUUCGGGAGCUUUACAUACAGGUGCUGCAUGGCUGUCGUCAGCUCGUGUCGUGAGAUGUUGGGUUAAGUCCCGCAACGAGCGCAACCCUUUUCCUUAUUUGCCAGCGGGUUAAGCCGGGAACUUUAAGGAUACUGCCAGUGACAAACUGGAGGAAGGCGGGGACGACGUCAAGUCCUCAUGGCCCUUAUGUCCAGGGCUACACACGUGCUACAAUGGGCGGUACAGAGUGUCGCAAUACCGCGAGGUAGAGCCAAUCACAAAAACCGCUCUCAGUUCGGAUUGGAGUCUGCAACUCGACUCCAUGAAGCUGGAAUCGCUAGUAAUCGCGGAUCAGCACGCCGCGGUGAAUACGUUCCCGGGCCUU